UUUCUAAUCCAGCUGUAAUGAAGACAGACAACAGUCAAAUUAACAGCUGAUCAGGAGGAGAAGUUCAUACUCUUUGAGCUGGAUCUAUCUGCACAUGCACCUGGCCCAGGAAGCUGAAAUGGAAGAUCUGAUGAGCAGUGGAGGACUGAACCAAAGCCCUUGGCUUUUGCUCCAUACCACUCAGCCAUUCUGGACACACACAUGGGCAGAAGAUGUAGCUGCCUUUGUGUAAAAGUUUGAGAGCUCUCUACUCCAUCUUCCACAUAGUAUAACCCUCAUUGGCUGGAAUCAUAAUGACAUCUGCAUCUGGAACUGGCCACCAGUAUAACACCUACAAAAUGCACAAUGGCCUUCGGACCAUAUGAAAAGUCUACAGGGUGAGAAUCUGAAAAUCCAGCAAUGAGGAGAAAAAAGUGAUCUCCCAUUAAGAACACUUUUCAGAAGCUACACAAUUCCAGUUACUGAUUCAUCCCAUUUACUGGAACCUGUUCAUCUGGCUAUGCCCAAAAGCAAGGGAAACUGAAAUAGUGGCUAUUGGCUAUUAUAGUCUGUAACUCAGCCUAGCCUAGCUUCAGAAGUUUUAAU
rnacentral:lncRNA from 1 species